GCCAGGCACAGUGGUGCAUGCCUGUAAUCCCAGCAGCUCAGAGGCAGAGGCAGGAGGAUCUUGAGUUCAAAGCCAGCAUCCGCAAUGGUGAGUUGUUUAGCAACUCAGUGAGACCCGGUCUCUA
rnacentral:sRNA from 1 species